rnacentral:rRNA from 1 species
AACGCUAGCUACAGGCUUAACACAUGCAAGUCGAGGGGCAGCAUGGUCUUAGCUUGCUAAGGCCGAUGGCGACCGGCGCACGGGUGAGUAACACGUAUCCAACCUGCCGUCUACUCUUGGACAGCCUUCUGAAAGGAAGAUUAAUACAAGAUGGCAUCAUGAGUCCGCAUGUUCACAUGAUUAAAGGUAUUCCGGUAGACGAUGGGGAUGCGUUCCAUUAGAUAGUAGGCGGGGUAACGGCCCACCUAGUCUUCGAUGGAUAGGGGUUCUGAGAGGAAGGUCCCCCACAUUGGAACUGAGACACGGUCCAAACUCCUACGGGAGGCAGCAGUGAGGAAUAUUGGUCAAUGGGCGAGAGCCUGAACCAGCCAAGUAGCGUGAAGGAUGACUGCCCUAUGGGUUGUAAACUUCUUUUAUAAAGGAAUAAAGUCGGGUAUGGAUACCCGUUUGCAUGUACUUUAUGAAUAAGGAUCGGCUAACUCCGUGCCAGCAGCCGCGGUAAUACGGAGGAUCCGAGCGUUAUCCGGAUUUAUUGGGUUUAAAGGGAGCGUAGAUGGAUGUUCAAGUCAGUUGUGAAAGUUUGCGGCUCAACCGUAAAAUUGCAGUUGAUACUGGAUAUCUUGAGUGCAGUUGAGGCAGGCGGAAUUCGUGGUGUAGCGGUGAAAUGCUUAGAUAUCACGAAGAACUCCGAUUG